rnacentral:lncRNA from 1 species
AAGUAUCCAGUCAUAGAUGGCUCCGACUAGCAAGUGGGGAGGGUUUCCUGGUAGAACUAGGCUUUGAUGUGGUUAGUAGGCUUCCAGAACAGUCCAGGCCCACUCUGAUCUUUGUCUUUGAGAACCAAGGAAGCACUCUCAGCCUGCCCCAUAGACUAAGCCUGGUUGUUUGUGCUUCAAUCACGUAACUAGGCAUUGGGCUUGUGUCUUGCCAGCCUUCAGGAUUUUAGGGCUCUGAGAGCCUCUAGGAACAUGACAUCUUUUUCAUCUUGAUGCUCACUGUCUGAUUAGCACAGGUGUGGGGGACUGAGACUGGGUACCUGAACAGAUGCCUCUGUGACCCCUGUCCUACCUCUCUGGGCUCUUGGGUGGGGACUUCAAUAGGUUUGGGGAAGGUAGAGAGUUAAGGGAGUCACAGAAGUCACAGACCUGCAGGCAUCUUACAGACAAGGAAAUGGACGAGAUACAAUCAAUACUUGUCUGAGGUUACAGAUUUCACGAGCAGCAGAGUCUGGAUCUCUGCUCGGUGCAGUUGACUACUGAGCCCCAAGUCUUGCCACAGCUUCAGACACAGAGGAGCAGGGCACAGGAGACUCUGUUUGGUGUUUCCAGAAGCUAGCUAGCGCUGGGCUAGUCUGAACCUGGCGCCUGCACUUUCCUGCAUCACCCUUAGUUACUGGCUGGACCCAAUGCUGAAAUUUGACCUUGACUGUCAUCCCAUAUGACAGAGGCUACACUGUCA